rnacentral:snRNA from 1 species
GUGCUCACUUCAGCAGCACAUACACUAAAAUUGAAACAAUACAGAGAUUAGCAUGGCCCCUGCACAAGGAUGACAUGCAAAUUUGUGAAGUGUUCCAUAUUUAN